UACAGAGGUCUCAAGCGUUGUUCGGAUUCAUUGGGCGUAAAGGGUGCGUAGGCGGCGGGGUAAGUCGGGUGUGAAAUCUCAGAGCUCAACUCUGAAACUGCACUCGAUACUGCUCUGCUUGAGGACUGGAGAGGAGACUGGAAUUCACGGUGUAGCAGUGAAAUGCGUAGAUAUCGUGAGGAAGACCAGUGGCGAAGGCGGGUCUCUGGACAGUGCCUGACGCUGAGGCGCGAAGGCGAGGGGAGCAAACGGG
rnacentral:rRNA from 1 species